rnacentral:rRNA from 1 species
CUCCUACGGGGGGCAGCAGUGGUUAAUCUUGCACCCUUUUUUCCACCCUGAUGCAGCAACGCCGCGUGAGUGAUGACGGCCUUCGGGUUGUAAAGCUCUGUCUUCAGGGACGAUAAUGACGGUACCUGAGGAGGAAGCCACGGCUAACUACGUGCCAGCAGCCGCGGUAAUACGUAGGUGGCGAGCGUUGUCCGGAUUUACUGGGCGUAAAGGGAGCGUAGGCGGACUUUUAAGUGAGAUGUGAAAUACUCGGGCUCAACUUGAGUGCUGCAUUUU